AAGGGGAGGCAGCCCAAUCAGAGACAGCCAGUAAACCAUGGAAAUAGACCAGUUGCACAAUAUCAAAAACCAAUACUUGUUCAGAUGGAAAUAAGUCUGUUUCGACAAGGAGUGGCAAUGGAAAAGGAAAAACAUGCUUCCAAACUACAAAAUCAAGCUACCCUAGAUCCUGUUCUGAAUGCACUCAGUGCA